GCAGCCAUGGUUGAUAGUAGCUUUGUCCAUUAAGGGUUAACACCAGUUGAAUACAAGGAUGUGGUCAACUAUACUGUUCUUACCGUUGAAAAAGAAGUGCUGAGGCCAGGCAUGGUGGCUCACACCUGUAAUCCCAGCACUUUGGGAUGCCGAGGCAGCUGGAUCACUUGUGGUCAAGAGUUCAAGACCAGAUUGGGCGACAUGAUGAAACCCCGUCUCUACUACAAAUACGAAAAUUAGCCAUUGUGGUGGCACACGCCUGUAAUCCCAGCUACUCAGGAGGCUGAUGUGGGAGAACUGAACCCUGGAGGUGGAGAUUGCAGUGAGCCAAGAUGGCGCUACUGUGCUCCAGCCUGGGCAACAAAGCAACACUAUGUUUUAAAUAAAUAAAUAAGUGCUGAGAUCUCAGAAAAUACAAUGCCUAGCUUCAGAAUACCAUAUAUUAUAUAUUCAUAUGGCUAUAAUGAUUCCCCACCUGUUUAUCUGUCCUAAUGCAAGGAGCUUCCUUUCAUAGUGAUGCCAGGCACUGCUCUAAGUAAUUUUAUGUAUCCUAACUUAUUAAAUCUCCUCAACCACCCUAAAAUAAGUACCUUUAUAAACUCCAUUUUACAGAAAAGGAAACAACUGAGUUUCCAAGAGUUUAAGUAAUUCAAGAUCUACACAGCUAAUAAUUGUGAAACUGGGACUUGAACCCGUGUACUAUGACUCUCAAAUCCUGGCUCUUACCAAUCCUGGGCUACCACCUACUACACACAUUUAUUUCACACCGUGUCCCUGAAGUCCCCUCAGCAUGAUAGUAAUUUGUCUUCUCACAUUUUUUCUUUAAAAAAAAAAACAAAACAAAAAAACUAGAGUAGUAAAGCUGUCAAUGCAUGACUAUGCUAAGGCAUAAGGGAUACAAAAAAAUGCCUUCAAGUUUCCUAUUUUAAAGUCUUUUGAGAUUUAAAGGCUUUUAGAUGCCAGUGGAGAUUGUAAGAAUAA
rnacentral:lncRNA from 10 species